rnacentral:rRNA from 1 species
AACAAUACUACCAAACACAUGAAAGAACUCAAGAAAAUAAUCACUCCACACAGUAUUUUAUUAAAAUAGUUAUUUAUAUACACCCGCAAGGGCAAAUCUCUCGUAUAGUAUAGAAAAGAUUACAACUUGUCCCUUUUGCAUCAUGGAGAAGCAACACAAACCUAACAACUUAAGCUCCCGAACAACUAUGAGCUACUAAACCUUAAAAAUCAAUGUUUCAUAAUUGAUAAAUUAACUUUUAGUAGAAGUAAUAAGCCUUCCAUAUAGUUAAAUAGCUGGCUUUCCCUUAAAAGCAUCAAAGUGCUGCCUUAUAGAUUAGUUUACAUAAACCAAACAACUAUAUAGGUCAACCUUCUGAGGAUUAGCUCGGAAGGAUAACAAAAAUACACAAAGCCCUAUCCCCAAAAGUAGGCUUAAAAACAGCCACCUAACAACGUUCUAGUUAAUGGCUUAAAACACCAAUAAUAUUAAAGUCCCCAUUUUACUUAAACAAGGGAACUUGACGCCAAAUAUAACACGUCAUUGAACCGGCAUUCUAUUAGUAUUAAUAUUACAAACCCCAAAAAAUUAAAAAUAAUUGGAUCCCAAAAUAAAUAAAAUAUAAAAUAUAUAAAGUGAACUCGGCAACAAAGUUCUCUGCCUGUUUACCAAAAACAUCGUCUUCUGAGCCCAGACAUAGAAGAUAAUGCCUGCCCAGUGAAGUAUUUAAACGGCCGCGUUAGCGUGAGCGUGCUAAGGUAGCGUAAUAAAUAGCCUCUUAAUUGGAGGCCAGUGAAUGGCAAGACUAGGAACACCUUUACCUUUUAUAUCAAAAAAACUUUUCAUCUAAGUGAAAAGACUUAGAUAAUAUAGGAAGACGAAAAGACCCCGCGGAACUUUACUCUUUAUUAUACCAACACCCAAAAGCACAAGGUAUCAAAAGUUUGAUUGGGGCAAUCUCGGAACCAACAAGCUUCCGAUUAUCUUAAUAACAUAUCAAAAAUUUGGUAUAGACAAAACAGAAGUUACCCCGGGGAUAACAGCGUUAUCCAACUUAAGAGUACACAUCGAAAGUUGGGUUUGCGACCUCGAUGUUGGCUUAAGGACAUCCACAUUAGUGCAACCGCUAUGAAAGGACAGUCUGUUCGACUAUUAUACCCUUACGUGAUCUGAGUUAAGACCGGCGCAAGCUAGGUUGGUUUCUAUCUCCUUUAUAAAUACUCUUCUUGAUUGUACGAAAGGACCCCAAAAGGUGCACAAAAUACAAGCACACCUUAAACAAAACCAUUCUCUUACUUAAACUAAAAUGACCCUUAAU